UCGUGGGAGGAGUAACACCACAAAAAAAAAAAGGGGAGGGGGAGAGCGGCGGCGGCGGCGGCGGCAGCGUCCGGGGAGAGGCGAUCGCCGGGGGAGACCGAGCGCCGGAGCCGAGAACCGGCCGACCGUGGAGGAAGCUUUAAAGCUCUUCCUUCCUUCAAGAAGAUCCCCACAAAUCGGGUGAAGAAGCUUGGGGAUCCGAGGGUCUUCCUCCUCCGAUUUUCCGCCGGAAAGGUCGCCGGAACACCCCCACCGGACCGAGGGGAAGAGUCAGCGGUGCCAGGAGGUUUUGAUCAGGGGACUCAGCACCCCAGCUCGUAGGUUGUGAUCCAGAUCUGUAUUUGAGUCAGUCUACAAUUUCUAGUUGCAGGAUGCAUAGAUUUGGAUGGGAUGGGCGCAGAGUGCGAGUACCAGAGUUAUUAGUUAGUUAGUUGGUUUAUCCUUCUUUGAUGUUGAUGAACAUUAGAAGAUCUUAUAAUUGAACUAAUUUGUUUAUUUGGACAUGUCGGAUUUGUCUAUUUAAAUUAUCAAUUUCUUAUGGAUUUAAUGGAA